rnacentral:rRNA from 1 species
GAUGAACGCUGGCGGCGUGCUUAACACAUGCAAGUCGAACGAAGCAUUUAAGACAGAUUCCUUCGGUUUGAAGUCUUUUAUGACUGAGUGGCGGACGGGUGAGUAACGCGUGGGUAACCUGCCUCAUACAGGGGGAUAGCAGCUGGAAACGGCUGGUAAUACCGCAUAAGCGCACAGUACCACAUGGUACAGUGUGAAAAACUCCGGUGGUAUGAGAUGGACCCGCGUCUGAUUAGCUAGUUGGCGGGGUAACGGCCCACCAAGGCGACGAUCAGUAGCCGACCUGAGAGGGUGACCGGCCACAUUGGGACUGAGACACGGCCCAGACUCCUACGGGAGGCAGCAGUGGGGAAUAUUGCACAAUGGAGGAAACUCUGAUGCAGCGACGCCGCGUGAGUGAAGAAGUAGUUCGCUAUGUAAAGCUCUAUCAGCAGGGAAGAUAGUGACGGUACCUGACGAAGAAGCUCCGGCUAAAUACGUG